GGAAGGGAAGGCUGGCGGAGGAAGCAAGUGGCUUCUCUCCUCUCCUCACCCAACAAGGGCUGACUCAGCAGGUCAGGCUGCAGGCAUGUCAUCCAGGAGUGAGGACAGGUCGUGCGCAUGUCUGGGUGUCGCCCUGGGCCCUGGUGAGAUCAGAUCAGAUCAGUCGCUCAGUCAUGUCCGACUCUUUACCACCCCAUGAAUCGCAGAACACCAGGCCUCCCUGUCCAUCACCAACUCCCGGAGUUCACUGAGACUCACGUCCAUCAAGUCAGUGAUGCCAUCCAGCCAUCUCAUCCUCUGUCGUCCCCUACUCCUCCUGCCCCCAAUCCCUCCCAGCAUUAGAGUCUUUCGAAUGAG
ensembl:lncRNA